rnacentral:misc_RNA from 1 species
AAGUCGUAACAAGGUUUCCGUAGGUGAACCUGCGGAAGGAUCAUUAAUGAACCUCUGAGAGUUGAGCUGGUAAUUUGCUUUACAUGUGCUCGCUCUCUCAUCCUUUAUACACCUGUGCACUUUUGAGGGGAUUAGUAGACUUUUGUAAUGAAAGUCAAAAUUCCCCUUCAACUACAUACACUUUAUUAUUAAUCGAAUGUUCAAACGCUUAACAGCAUUUAAAUACAACUUUUAACAACGGAUCUCUUGGCUCUC